CCUACGGGAGGCAGCAGUGGGGAAUAUUGCACAAUGGGGGAAACCCUGAUGCAGCGACGCCGCGUGAGUGAAGAAGGAUCUAGGUAUGUAAAGCUCUAUCAGCAGGGAAGAAAAUGACGGUACCUGACUAAGAAGCCCCGGCUAACUACGUGCCAGACGCCGCGGUAAUACGUAGGGGGCCAGCGUUAUCCGGAUUUACUGGGUGUAAAGGGAGCGUAGACGGAGAUUCGAGUCCGGAGUGAAAGCCCAUGGCUUAACCAUGGUACUGCUCUGGAAACUGGGGGGCUUGAGUGCGGUGGGGGUAGGCGGAAUUCCUAGUGUAGCGGUGAAAUGCGUAGAUAUUAGGAGGAACACCGACGGCGAAGGCGGCCUGCUGGACCGUAACUGACGUUGAGGCUCGAAAGCGUGGGGAGCAAACAGGAUUAGAUACCCGAGUAGUC
rnacentral:rRNA from 1 species